GACGAACGCUGGCGGCGUGCUUAACACAUGCAAGUCGAACGGAAAGGCCCUGCUUUUGUGGGGUGCUCGAGUGGCGAACGGGUGAGUAACACGUGAGUAACCUGCCCUUGACUUUGGGAUAACUUCAGGAAACUGGGGCUAAUACCGGAUAGGAGCUCCUGCUGCAUGGUGGGGGUUGGAAAGUUUCGGCGGUUGGGGAUGGACUCGCGGCUUAUCAGCUUGUUGGUGGGGUAGUGGCUUACCAAGGCUUUGACGGGUAGCCGGCCUGAGAGGGUGACCGGCACAGUUGGAACUGGGUAAGGGCCCGGACUCUUAGGGGGGGAAGCGGGGGGGAUAUUGCCACAUGGGGCGAAGCCCUGAGGAGGAACCGCGGGGGCGGGGAGGAGGGCCUUGGGGUGGAAACCGCCUUUGCCUGGUACCGAGCCGUAGGUGAGGGUAAGGGGAAAGGAGGAACCGGCAACUUAGUG
rnacentral:rRNA from 1 species